rnacentral:lncRNA from 1 species
UUGGACAUUUCCCCAAAUUUCAACCUGCAUAAAAACACAUUUAAUAUUCCCAACUGGCAGCAUGCACAAUAUAAUUUCAUGCAAUUCACACAAAUGGCCUUCGGCCUUUCGAUAAUUCCUAUCCAACUACCAAACCAUUCAAAUACAAAUCAUGACUAAUAUUUAGUCUGCGGCUGCACCCAAUAACCUUAGGCUGCCUACGUACCCUCCUUGAGGGAUCAAGCCACACGUAGUUCUUCCCUAAAACCCAAUUCCACACAUCGGUGAUACCUUAUUUCCUUUCUCUGCAUUUCACAUAUUCUCCCCAUACGCCGGUACAACCAACGCCACGUAUGGGGCCUGUCAACACGCCGGAU